rnacentral:misc_RNA from 1 species
GAUGAGAACGUAGCGAAAUGCGAUAAGUAAUGUGAAUUGCAGAAUUCAGUGAAUCAUCGAAUCUUUGAACGCACCUUGCACUCCUUGGUAUUCCGAGGAGUACGCCUGUUCGAGUGUUAUGAAGCUCUCAAAACGCAAUUGGCUUAAAACCUGAUUGUUGUUUUGGAUUUGAACUUUGCCGUGUUAUAACGGCUGGUUUUAAAAGUAUUAGCUGGUACUAGAACGAAUUGGUUCUACUCAACGUGAUAAUUAUCUGAUCGUUGAGGACAUUCCUUUCACGAGGAAUGGCCAUAGUAAAUUCAAUGGACUGCUUCUAAUCUGGCUUUAAUUCUUUAUUGGAUUAACCACUUUUCAAAUCUGACCUCGAAUCAGGUGGGACUACCCGCUGAACUUAAGCAUAUCAAUAAGCGGAGGA